UGAUGAUAAUUUGAAAAACGCAAAGGAAAUACAUUUUAUGAACGGAAAACAAGGACCGGUUUCUUCAAAAAAAUCCAGAUUUUUCAUCCGAAUCUCUAAUCUUCCACAAUUAACCCAAAAAAAAAAAAAUAUAACUAUAGAAAAUCACUAAAUCAAUAGAAAAAACAAGGACAUGUCUGGUAAAAGGAGGCCGUGGUCGGAUACCACACCAUUGCUUGACCCACAACAACGUUCUUCUCCUCUCUACGAUUCUUCUCAUCGCUCUUCCACCUCCGCUUCUUUUUCCGUCGAGAUGUCCGCCACCGUCACUGCCACCGCCACUGCCCCUCGUCGCUCUGUUUUCCUCGGCGUCGAUGUUGGCACCGGCAGCGCCCGCGCUGGUCUGUUUGAUGAGAAUGGGAAACUUCUUGGGUCCGCUAGUAGUCCAAUUCAGAUAUGGAAAGAACGUGACUGCGUUGAGCAAUCGUCCACAGAUAUUUGGCAUGCCAUCUGUGCGGCUGUGAAGUCAGCAUGUUCCCUUGCAAAUGUUGCUGGGGAAGAAGUGAUUGGCAUGGGGUUUGCUGCUACCUGUUCUCUUGUUGCUGUGGAUGCUGAUGGAGCUCCAGUAUCAGUUUCUUGGAGCGGGGAUUCAAGAAGAAACAUUAUAGUUUGGAUGGACCAUAGAGCUGUAAAACAAGCUGAGAAGAUCAAUUCCUCUAACUCUCCAGUAUUACAAUAUUGUGGUGGUGCUCUCUCCCCUGAAAUGGAGCCACCGAAGCUUUUGUGGGUGAAAGAAAAUUUGCAAGAAUCAUGGUCAAUGGUGUUCAGGUGGAUGGACUUGAGUGAUUGGUUAUCAUAUAGAGCAACGGGAGAUGAUACUCGUAGUCUAUGUACAAUAGUAUGCAAAUGGACGUAUCUUGGCCAUGCACAUAUGCAACAAAUAAGUGAAAAAGAUUCCCGAGACAUGGAAGCUUGCGGUUGGGAUGAUGACUUUUGGGAAGAGAUUGGCUUGGGAGAUCUUGUAGAUGGGCAUCAUGCUAAGAUUGGACGGAGUGUAGCUUUUCCUGGCCACCCCUUGGGUUCUGGACUAACUCCUACAGCUGCGAAGGAACUGGGUCUUGAAGCAGGAACUCCUGUGGGGACUUCACUGAUUGAUGCUCAUGCUGGUGGUGUGGGGAUCAUGGAGAGUGUUCCUGAGGCAGAUUCUGAUGCUAAUGAGUAUGAUAAGGAAGCAAUAUGCCAUCGCAUGGCAUUAGUAUGCGGUACUUCUACUUGUCAUAUGGUUGUGUCACAGGGCAAGUUGUUCAUUCCAGGGGUUUGGGGGCCAUUUUGGUCAGCAAUGGUCCCUGAGUACUGGCUUACAGAGGGUGGGCAGAGUGCUACUGGUGCGUUACUAGAUUACAUCAUAGAAAACCAUGUUGCUUCUACUCGCCUUGCAAAUUGUGCUGCUUCUCAAAAUAUAUCGCUGUUUGAAUUACUGAACAAUAUAUUAAGGACAAUGAUGGAUGAUCAAAAGGCUCCAUUCCUUGCUGCUUUGACAGAAGAUGUACAUGUUCUUCCUGACUUUCAUGGGAAUAGAUCUCCCAUUGCAGAUCCAAAAGCAAAAGGAAUUAUUUAUGGUAUGACUCUUGAUACAAGUGACAGACAGCUGGCUCUUUUAUACCUUGCUGCAAUACAGGGUAUUGCAUAUGGUACACGCCACAUUGUGGAACACUGCAAUGCUCAUGGUCACAAAAUUGACACAUUGCUUGCAUGUGGUGGCCUUUCAAAAAAUCCUGUGUUUGUUCAAGAACAUGCAGAUAUCAUUGGUUGCCCUAUUGUACUUCCUCGAGAAAGUGAGUCAGUGUUACUGGGUGCUGGUAUUCUUGGUGCAGUUGCUGCAAAGAAAUACACCAGUCUAAGUGAGGCCAUGAAGGCAUUGAAUGCGGCUGGCCAGGUAAUUCAUCCAUCAAAAAACUCAAAAGUGAAGAAGUAUCAUGAUGCCAAAUACCAUAUUUUUCGCCAGCUCUAUGAGCAGCAACUAUCUCAACGUUCAAUAAUAGCCGAAGCUUUGGAGUAGGUUGUGCUGUUGCGCCACUUUUCAGAACUUGUGGAAGAUUGUGCUCAUCAUUCCCAUCCGUUGUCAUCCAAAAAAGAGGGGGGGUGGCGGGGGUGUGGGCUGUGGGGUUGGGGAGAAGAGGGGAAUGGGUUGAGGGUUGGUGAGACUCCAAAGAAUUGUAAAAUUGAUUUUUCAUAUGCUUGUUACAUGGUGGAGAUAGUGGAAAAUUACAAAGCUCUGAAAAUAAAUAUGUAAAAUUUGCACUUUUCUUGCAAAUUUACUAAUAAAUUCCCCUCGCUCGAUUGCUCAUGUUUCUUUGGCUUGAAGUUUGAAGCAAUCUUUUGCAUGCAAGGGAAUUUCAUUAUUUUGGGGACUUUUUUAUUUUUUGGGAUUAACAGGAGAGAUUACACAAUUUUGGUUUUUGCCAUAUGAUAAAAGAAAUGUUGAUAACAUAUUUUUUUUAUUUAGGAUAUUUUCUUUAUUUUCU
rnacentral:misc_RNA from 1 species